rnacentral:tRNA from 1 species
GCGCCGUUAGCUCAGAUGGAUAGAGCGUCUGGCUACGGACCAGAAGGUCGGGGGUUCGAAUCCCUCACGGCGUGCCA